rnacentral:rRNA from 1 species
GUGGGGAAUAUUGCACAAUGGGCGAAAGCCUGAUGCAGCAACGCCGCGUGAGGGACGACGGCCUUCGGGUUGUAAACCUCUUUUAGUAGGGAAGAAGCGAAAGUGACGGUACCUGCAGAAAAAGCACCGGCUAACUACGUGCCAGCAGCCGCGGUAAUACGUAGGGUGCAAGCGUUAUCCGGAAUUAUUGGGCGUAAAGAGCUCGUAGGCGGUCUGUCGCGUCUGCUGUGAAAACUGGAGGCUCAACCUCCAGCCUGCAGUGGGUACGGGCAGACUAGAGUGCGGUAGGGGAGAUUGGAAUUCCUGGUGUAGCGGUGGAAUGCGCAGAUAUCAGGAGGAACACCGAUGGCGAAGGCAGAUCUCUGGGCCGUAACUGACGCUGAGGAGCGAAAGCGUGGGGAGCGAACAGGAUUAGAUACCCGAGUAGUCC